GAUGAACGCUGGCGGCGUGCCUAAUACAUGCAAGUCGAGCGAAUGGAUUAAGAGCUUGCUCUUAUGAAGUUAGCGGCGGACGGGUGAGUAACACGUGGGUAACCUGCCCAUAAGACUGGGAUAACUCCGGGAAACCGGGGCUAAUACCGGAUAACAUUUUGAACCGCAUGGUUCGAAAUUGAAAGGCGGCUUCGGCUGUCACUUAUGGAUGGACCCGCGUCGCAUUAGCUAGUUGGUGAGGUAACGGCUCACAAAGGCAACGAUGCGUAGCCGACCUGAGAGGGGGAUCGGCCACACUGGGACUGAGACACGGCCCAGCCUCCUACGGGAGGCAGCAGUAGGGAAUCUUCCGCAAUGGACGAAAGUCCGACGGAGCAACGCCGCGUGAGUGAUGAAGGCGUUCGGGUCGUAAAACUCUGUUGUUAGGGAUGAACAAGUGCUAGUUGAAUAAGCUGGCACCUUGACGGUACCUAACCAGAAAGCCACGGCUAACUACGUGCCAGCCGCCGCAGUAA
rnacentral:rRNA from 1 species